rnacentral:rRNA from 1 species
GGACAGUAUGUAGGGAGCUGUAUCAGCGCUCAGCGGUGGCCCGGUUGAUUGCAUUAGUGCUUGCACCUGAUUGAUUUUGGCCGCCAACGAGUGGCGGACGGGUGAGUAACACGUAGGUAACCUGCCCAGAAGCGGGGGACAACAUUUGGAAACAGAUGCUAAUACCGCAUAACAACGUUGUUCGCAUGAACAACGCUUAAAAGAUGGCUUCUCGCUAUCACUUCUGGAUGGACCUGCGGUGCAUUAGCUUGUUGGUGGGGUAAUGGCCUACCAAGGCGAUGAUGCAUAGCCGAGUUGAGAGACUGAUCGGCCACAAUGGGACUGAGACACGGCCCAUACUCCUACGGGAGGCAGCAGUAGGGAAUCUUCCACAAUGGGCGCAAGCCUGAUGGAGCAACACCGCGUGAGUGAAGAAGGGUUUCGGCUCGUAAAGCUCUGUUGUUAAAGAAGAACACGUAUGAGAGUAACUGUUCAUACGUUGACGGUAUUUAACCAGAAAGUCACGGCUAACUACGUGCCAGCAGCCGCGGUAAUACGUAGGUGGCAAGCGUUAUCCGGAUUUAUUGGGCGUAAAGAGAGUGCAGGCGGUUUUCUAAGUCUGAUGUGAAAGCCUUCGGCUUAACCGGAGAAGUGCAUCGGAAACUGGAUAACUUGAGUGCAGAAGAGGGUAGUGGAACUCCAUGUGUAGCGGUGGAAUGCGUAGAUAUAUGGAAGAACACCAGUGGCGAAGGCGGCUACCUGCUCUGCAACUGACGCUGAAACUCGAAAGCAUGGGUAGCGAACAGGAUUAGAUACCCUGGUAGUCCAUGCCGUAACGAUGAGUGCUAGGUGUUGGAGGGUUUCCGCCCUUCAGUGGCGGGAGCUAACGCAUUAAGGCCACUCCGUCCUGGGGGAGUACCGACCGGCAUGGAU